UGGCGGCAGGCCUAACACAUGCAAGUCGAGCGGAAACGAGUUAACUGACCCUUCGGGUGACGUUAACGGCGUCGAGCGGCGGACGGGUGAGUAAUGCCUGGGAAAUUGCCCUGAUGUGGGGGAUAACCAUUGGAAACGAUGGCUAAUACCGCAUAAUGCCUUCGGGCCAAAGAGGGGGGGGGACCUUCGGGCCUCUCGCGUCAGGAUAUGCCCCAGGUGGGAUUAGCUAGUUGGUGAGGUAAUGGCACACCAAGGCGACGAUCCCUAGCUGGUCUGAGAGGAUGAUCAGCCACACUGGAACUGAGACACGGUCCAGACUCCUACGGGAGGCAGCAGUGGGGAAUAUUGCACAAUGGGCGCAAGCCUGAUGCAGCCAUGCCGCGUGUGUGAAGAAGGCCUUCGGGUUGUAAAGCACUUUCAGCAGUGAGGAAGGCGGGUACGUUAAUAGCGUGCUCGUUUGACGUUAGCUGCAGAAGAAGCACCGGCUAACUCCGUG
rnacentral:rRNA from 1 species